rnacentral:rRNA from 1 species
GACGAACGCUGGCGGCGUGCUUAACACAUGCAAGUCGAACGGAAAGGCCCUGCUUUUGUGGGGUGCUCGAGUGGCGAACGGGUGAGUAACACGUGAGUAACCUGCCCUUGACUUUGGGAUAACUUCAGGAAACUGGGGCUAAUACCGGAUAGGAGCUCCUGCUGCAUGGUGGGGGUUGGAAAGUUUCGGCGGUUGGGGAUGGACUCGCGGCUUAUCAGCUUGUUGGUGGGGUAGUGGCUUACCAAGGCUUUGGCGGGUAGCCGGCCUGAGAGGGUGACCGGCCACAUUGGGACUGAGAUACGGCCCAGACUCCUACGGGAGGCAGCAGUGGGGAAUAUUGCACAAUGGGCGGAAGCCUGAUGCAGCAACGCCGCGUGCGGGAUGACGGCCUUCGGGUUGUAAACCGCUUUCGCCUGUGACGAAGAGUGAGUGACGGUAAUGGGUAAAGAAGCACCGGCUAACUACGUG